AUGAGUGAGCCGGUGAAGGUCCUGAGCGCUUUCGGCAGCAUAUACGGCCAUCGUCCAGAGGUGGCCCUGAGGAUCAAGGGCAUACCUUAUGAGCUGCUCCUCGAAGACCUUCCCAACAACAAGAGCGAGCUGCUGCUGACGUGCAACCCCGUCCACAAACUGGUCCCCGUACCUUCCCAACAACAAGAUCUAUCUGUGAGUCGCUCAUCAUUGUCGAGUACAUCGACGAGGCCUUCGAGGGGCCGCCGCUGCUGCCGGCCGACCCCUACGAGAGGGCCACGGCCCGUUUCUGGGCGCAGUUCAUCGACCAAAAGUUUGCUAGGCCGUUCUGGAUGUCGAUAUGUAGGGCGGAUGGUGACAAGAAGGAGGAGGGGGAAUUCUUCAAGGAGGCCAAGGCAAAUCUGCUGCUUCUCGAGGGGCAGCUCAAGGGGAAGAGGUUCUUUGGAGGCGACUCCAUUGGCCUCGUGGACAUAG
rnacentral:rRNA from 1 species